rnacentral:rRNA from 1 species
CCCUUAGAUGUUCUGGGCCGCACGCGUGCUACACUGAGUGGAUCAGCGGGUCAGGUUGCGCGAAAGUGUUUCCUAAUCUUGAAAUCCGCUCGUGAUGGGGAUUGACGGUUGCAAUUUUCCGUCAUGAACGAGGAAUACCUUGUAAGCGCGGGUCAUCAUCCCGCGCUGAAUACGUCCCUGCCCUUUGUACACACCGCCCGUCGCUCCUACCGAUUGAGUGGUCCGGUGAGGCUUUGGGAUCUGAGCGGAAAGAGCGUUUCGCUGUUUCUGCUCGGAAAACUCAGUCGAACCUUAUCAUUUAGAGGAAGGAGAAGUCUUAACA